UACGGAGGGUGCGAGCGUUGUCCGGAAUCACUGGGCGUAAAGGGCGUGUAGGCGGUUUGUUAAGUCUGGCGUGAAAGCUCUCGGCUAAACCGGGAGAGGUCGUUGGAUACUGGCAGACUUGAGGAUGGUAGAGGCGUGUGGAAUUCCGGGUGUAGUGGUGAAAUGCGUAGAGAUCCGGAGGAACACCAGUGGCGAAGGCGACACGCUGGGCCAUACCUGACGCUAAAGCGCGACAGCAUGGGGAGCAAACGGG
rnacentral:rRNA from 1 species